rnacentral:rRNA from 1 species
GACGAACGCUGGCGGCGUGCUUAACACAUGCAAGUCGAACGGAAAGGCCCUGCUUGCAGGGUACUCGAGUGGCGAACGGGUGAGUAACACGUGGGUGAUCUGCCCUGCACUUCGGGAUAAGCCUGGGAAACUGGGUCUAAUACCGGAUAGGAGCCAUUUUUAGUGUGAUGGUUGGAAAGUUUUUUCGGUGUAGGAUGAGCUCGCGGCCUAUCAGCUUGUUGGUGGGGUAAUGGCCUACCAAGGCGGCGACGGGUAGCCGGCCUAAGAGGGUGGACGGCCACAUUGGGACUGAGAGACGGCCCAGACUCCUACGGGAGGCAGCAGUGGGGAAUAUUGCACAAUGGGCGCAAGCCUGAUGCAGCGACGCCGCGUGGGGGAUGACGGCCUUCGGGUUGUAAACUCCUUUCGCUAGGGACGAAGCUUUUUGUGACGGUACCUAGAGAAGAAGCACCGGCUAACUACGUG